AGAAGAAUAACAAGCAUAGUUAAAUAAAACCUAAACUCUAAACUUUAUCAUGGUAUUAGAGCAUAGUUAAAAUUCUUCUCUCUCUGCAGCCCCCAUCCAGAAUUGGUCUUGAAACAAGGGACCAACCAUGGAUGAUACAAAUACCUCUAUAAUUCCUAUAAAACAUACUCCAGUCUCUGUUGAAUCACCCAACCUAAACAACUUACCCUUUGGAUUCAAAUUAAAUGAGACAAACUUCAAAAUCUGGUCAUGAAUGAUUGAGCUUCAUGCUGCUGGAUUGAACAAACUUGGCUACUUAAAUGGACAAAACGCUAGAAUGGAAGAAGGAAAUCCCGAUUACUCAAGAUGGUGCAUUGAAGAUGCAGUGGUGAGAGGAUGGCUGCUGAAAACCAUGGAGCCUCAUCUCAUUGGCUUAUUUAUACACCUUUCAUCAGCCAAGGAAAUAUGGGAUAGUGUAACUCAAACCUUCUAUGAUGGGGCUGAUGAGUCUCAAUUUUAUGAGUUACGCUGCAAGGCAACAAGAACAAAACAAAAUGGAUGUCCAGUUAACUUAUACUACGCAGAACUUAACAGCGUCUGGCAAGAAAUUGAUAAACGACGACCAAUUAAGAUGAUGUGUACUGCAAACCUUAGAACCAGACAAGAAGAAAUCCAAAAAGAUCGGAUUUAUGACUUUCUCGCGGGACUAGAUGAGGUAUUCGACCCAGUACACAGUGAUCUUCUUCGCAUGAAAUCUGUUCCAGGUAUUGAAGAGUGCUUCAAUACUGUUCGACGAGAGGCUCAAUGCCGAGUCACCAUGUUUGGCACAAAGAACACGGGUGAAGGUACUUUCAUGGCAAUGAUUUCCAAAUCCACCGCCUCCUCUAACUUUCGCACCCUUAGAGCUGUUGAGGAAGUAGAAAAGGAUAAAUUGCGCUGUAGUCAUUGUAAUGGAAGUCACCAUACCAGAGACACUUGUUUUGAAAUUCAUGGCUAUCCCGAAUGGUUCUUAGAAAAACGGAAGCAAGGUAAAGCACGCAGCAAUUAACGUCCAGGCCAAGCAAAAUUAGCCAAUACGGUGGAGAUUCCUUCUAGUGUUGCUACUAUGGCAACAGGUCAAGGAGACCAUAUAAAACCGGGUGAAAUACUCUCUUUAGCCAAUACAACUGACUCCCUUCCAACCUCAGAAAACAUUGGAAUGAUGUUUUCUACAUCCACAAUUCAAGAUACAGGAUAUCCGGACUCAAGCGAUCAUUGGACGUGGUACUAUGAGGAAGGGGCUUUACUAUGUGGAUGAUGUUGCGUCAGGUCACAUCCAUCAAGUUCAGAGUCGCAAUGUUCAUGACUACAAGAAUAUUUGGUUGUGGCA